rnacentral:rRNA from 1 species
UACGUAGGGAGCAAGCGUUGUCCGGAAUCAUUGGGCGUAAAGCGCGCGUAGGUGGCUUCGUAAGUCUGCUGUGAAAGUCCAGGGCUCAACCCUGGAAUGCCGGUGGAAACUGUCGAGCUCGAGUCCGGAAGAGGCGAGUGGAAUUCCUGGUGUAGCGGUGAAAUGCGCAGAUAUCAGGAAGAACACCCGUGGCGAAGGCGGCUCUCUGGGACGGUACUGACGCUGAGACGCGAAAGCGUGGGGAGCGAACAGG